rnacentral:rRNA from 1 species
AACGUAGGAGACAAACGUUAUCCGGAAUUACUGGGCGUAAAGGGCUCGUAGGUGGCCAACUAAGUCAGACGUGAAAUCCCUCGGCUUAACCGGGGAACUGCAUCUGAUACUGGAUGGCUUGAGUUUGGGAGAGGGAUGCGGAAUUCCAGGUGUAGCGGUGAAAUGCGUAGAUAUCUGGAGGAACACCGGUGGCGAAGGCGGCAUCCUGGACCAACACUGACACUGAGGAGCGAAAGCCAGGGGAGCAAACGGG